CUCUGCUCUACUGGAGGAUCCACACUGUAAACUGGAGAAACUAGAUAUUUGACAGUGGAAACUCCACAAGCUCCAAACAAGUGAAUCAAAACAACACGUCCUGAACAAGACUGUCACCUGGACAAAUGCAGAUACUGAUCCAGCAGUUU